rnacentral:rRNA from 1 species
UACAGAGGUCUCAAGCGUUGUUCGGAUUCAUUGGGCGUAAAGGGUGCGUAGGUGGCGCCGUAAGUCGGGUGUGAAAUUUCGGAGCUUAACUCCGAAACUGCAUUCGAUACUGCCGUGCUUGAGGACUGGAGAGGAGACUGGAAUUUACGGUGUAGCGGUGAAAUGCGUAGAUAUCGUAAGGAAGACCAGUGGCGAAGGCGAGUCCCUGGACAACACCUGACACUGAGGCACGAAAGCUAGGGGAGCAAACAGG